AUGCCAAGAGACAAGCGCAGGCCGAGAGGCUUGAAUGAAGUACAAUAUGCCACCAAGAGAGUACUUAGGUCAAGUAGUAUCUCCAAAGUGGAAUCUGUCAAUUCUACGGAAACUGGUGAAUGUGCCGGAGAUACAGUGCAACGCACAACUGGAAGUUCCAUUGCAUUGUCAGAUGGUAAAACUAAGAUCAGUGAUAAUUUGGCGGCUGUCAAUGCUAGUAAAACUGAUGAACGUCACUUGAGUGAAGAUCUCAUUUCACAAGCUGCUGCUUCAAACUUCAAACCAACUGUUGUAUCUCUUGCUUCAUUCGAAGGAGAUACCAUGCUGGUUGAAUGCACAGGUGUAUGCAUCGAAUGCCCAGAUCCUAAUAGUGCAAGGUUUCUGACUUCAUUAAGCUUGUGUACAUCAUCAGAUGGUAGAAGGAUGGCCAGUGAUAAUUUCAGGAUUGAAGUAAGCUUCCCAAAUGGAGUUCUUGAUGGGCAGUUAGUGUAUUAUGAUUCAUAUUAUGGUAUUGCUGUUGUCAGCACCCAGCAUGUGCCUGUCUGUGAAGGAGAUCACAGGCUAGUGCUUAAUCAUGAUGAAGCACUUAAGUCUAGCAGUGAGGUAGUAGCGUUAUGGUGCUCUUCCAGUUCAGAAAAAUUAAUGGCCAAAAGUGGGCAAUUGAUUGGCCCUCUAGAUGGUACAGUCCACAAGCUUAUGUUCAGCACAUGUAAAAUCACUACGGCUGGGAUUGGAGGCCCCCUCAUUGAUAUAGAUGGGAAUUUUGUUGGCAUGAACUAUUAUAGUCAAAUGGGGGACUGCUCCCAAAAAGUGAUUACUCCCUGCCUUCCAAGGAAUUUAAUUCUAAAAUGCAUGGAGCAUUCUGGGAUACUCAGGCUUGAAACCAAGCAAGAGGGCGAUGGUACAAUAGGAAGUAGCACGGGCACGAGGGAGAUAUGUAAAUCUUCUACACAUGGUAACUUCUAUCAGGAGGGUUUCUUCACGAUGAACCCAGACCAUGAAAAAUAUGUAAAAGAAACCGCAAAAUCCUAUGGUUACCCCUUGCCAGAUCUGUUACAAGCAAACAUGUAUAUGGUCAAUACUUUUGAAGAGAAUUUUGUCAAAGAUACAUGGACUAAACUCGGAAAAGACGUUGCCUCAAAAAUGUCUGAAAGUGUUGUCCCACUUGCUUCUUUCAAUGGAAAUGCAAGGUUUUUUGCUUGCACAGGUGUAUUUAUAGGCAUAAUAACUUGCAGAUUGAAGUACGCCUUCUAA
rnacentral:rRNA from 1 species